UGCGGGUGCUAUAAUGCAGUCGAACGCUUCUUUCCUCCCGAGUGCUUGCACUCAAUUGGAAAGAGGAGUGGCGGACGGGUGAGUAACACGUGGGUAACCUACCCAUCAGAGGGGGAUAACACUUGGAAACAGGUGCUAAUACCGCAUAACAGUUUAUGCCGCAUGGCAUAAGAGUGAAAGGCGCUUUCGGGUGUCGCUGAUGGAUGGACCCGCGGUGCAUUAGCUAGUUGGUGAGGUAACGGCUCACCAAGGCCACGAUGCAUAGCCGACCUGAGAGGGUGAUCGGCCACACUGGGACUGAGACACGGCCCAGACUCCUACGGGAGGCAGCAGUAGGGAAUCUUCGGCAAUGGACGAAAGUCUGACCGAGCAACGCCGCGUGAGUGAAGAAGGUUUUCGGAUCGUAAAACUCUGUUGUUAGAGAAGAACAAGGACGUUAGUAACUGAACGUCCCCUGACGGUAUCUAACCAGAAAGCCACGGCUAACUACGUGCCAGCAGCCGCGGUAAUACGUAGGUGGCAAGCGUUGUCCGGAUUUAUUGGGCGUAAAGCGAGCGCAGGCGGUUUCUUAAGUCUGAUGUGAAAGCCCCCGGCUCAACC
rnacentral:rRNA from 1 species